rnacentral:rRNA from 1 species
AUUGAAGGGGGCUGCUCCUAGUACGAGAGGACCGGAGUGGACGAACCUCUGGUGUUCGGGUUGUGUCGCCAGACGCAUUGCCCGGUAGCUAAGUUCGGAAUCGAUAACCGCUGAAAGCAUCUAAGCGGGAAGCGAGCCCUGAGAUGAGUCUUCCCUGAUACUUUAAGUAUCCUAAAGGGUUGUUCGAGACUAGAACGUUGAUAGGCAGGGUGUGUAAGCGCUGUGAGGCGUUGAGCUAACCUGUACUAAUUGCCCGUGAGGCUUAACCAUACAACACCCAAAGGGUUUUG